UACGUAGGGUGCAAGCGUUGUCCGGAAUUAUUGGGCGUAAAGAGCGUGUAGGCGGCUUGGUAGGUCCGCUGUGAAAACUCGAGGCUCAACCUCGAGAUGUCGGCGGAAACCACUUGGCUAGAGUCCGGAAGAGGAGUGUGGAAUUCCUGGUGUAGCGGUGAAAUGCGCAGAUAUCAGGAAGAACACCUAUGGCGAAGGCAGCACUCUGGGACGGUACUGACGCUGAGACGCGAAAGCGUGGGGAGCGAACAGG
rnacentral:rRNA from 1 species